GGAGGCGGCCGGGGGCCUCUUGUGAGGACACAGCAUGCAGGGCCUUAGGAGCUUGUCCCGUGGCAAAGGGGUAGAAGAAUAUUCCAGGCAGAAGGAGCACCAAAGACGCAGUGGUUUUGACGGGACAGGACAGCGACUGUCCUGAACAAGAGGUGCCCAGCCCUGUCUGCUGGAGGCGGCUGGAAGCACCGGGGAGGAGCAGGAAACUCAGAGAAGCCCUGAGACGCACGGCCAGCGUCUCGCGUCCACCCCGGCCUCCGAGCCUGAUGCGCCAGGCUCC
rnacentral:lncRNA from 1 species